GUGAAUCAUCAAAUUUUUGAACGCAAAUUGCACUCUCCUCGGAGAGUAUGCCUGUUUGAGGGUAAGACUAUAAAAAUAGACAGCGGUGCUGUUUGGCAGAGGCGUUCGUCGGAAAUUGGGUCAUCUUAAAUCCUUGUGAGUUAAUAGACUUAAAAUUGUAUGUUGUUUUCAGGAACGGUUC
rnacentral:misc_RNA from 1 species